rnacentral:rRNA from 1 species
GAAAGUAAGCAAGGGCAGACGGUGGAUGCCUUGGCUCUCGGAGGCGAUGAAGGACGUGAUAAGCUGCGAUAAGCUUGGGGUAGGUGCAAAUAACCUUUGAUCCCAAGAUUUCCGAAUGGGGCAACCCGGCUGGUAGAAGGCCAGUCAUUCCGUAAGGAAGGCGAACGUGGGGAACUGAAACAUCUAAGUACCCAUAGGAGAAGAAAACAAAAGUGAUUCCGCAAGUAGUGGCGAGCGAACGCGGAACAGCCCAAACCGAUGAUGUUUAGGCAUUGUCGGGGUAGUAGGACCACGUUGUGGCAAGAGAUUAAGGAAGUAGAACGUUUUGGAACAAACGGCCGUAGACGGUGAAAGCCCAGUAUACGACUCUUUAACGAAGCCUAGUGGAAUCCUGAGUAGCGCGGAGCACGAGAAAUUCUGUGUGAAUCAGCGGGGCCCAUCCCGUAAGGCUAAAUACUCCCGAGAGACCGAUAGCGAACCAGUACUGUGAAGGAAAGGUGAAAAGCACCUCGAACAGAGGAGUGAAAUAGUCCCUGAAACCGUCUGCCUACAAGCGGUCGGAGCAACGUAAGUUGUGACGGCGUGCCUUUUGCAUAAUGAACCUACGAGUUACUUUCUCCGGCAAGGUUAAGGGCUUCAGGCCCGGAGCCGAAGCGAAAGCGAGUCUUAAUAGGGCGUGAUAGUCGGAGUGAGUAGACGCGAAACCAAGUGAUCUACCCUUGGUCAGGAUGAAGGUUGGGUAACACCAACUGGAGGUCCGAAUGGGUAUACGUUGAAAAGUGUUCCAAUGAACUGAGGGUAGGGGUGAAAGGCUAAUCAAACUUGGAGAUAGCUCGUACUCCCCGAAAUGCAUUUAGGUGCAGCCUUUAUUUAGUAUAGCAUGAGGUAGAGCGACUGAUUGGAUGCGAGGGCUUCACCGCCUAUCAAGUCCAGAUAAACUCCGAAUGCGUGCUAUAUAUUGAUAAGGAGUGAGGGCGCGGGUGCUAAGGUCCGCGUCCGAGAGGAGAAGAAUCCAGACCAUCAGCUAAGGUCCCCAAAUAACAGUUAAGUUGAACUAACGAAGUCGGACUGCAGAGACAGCUAGGAUGUUGGCUUGGAAGCAGCCAUUCAUUUAAAGAGUGCGUAACAGCUCACUAGUCGAGGAGUCCGGCGUGGAUAAUACUCGGGCAUAAACUGUUUACCGAAGCUAUGGAUGUAGAAAUACAUGGUAGGGGAGCAUUCCAACGGCGUCGAAGGUGAAGGAUGACCUUUGCUGGAGCUUUUGGAAACGCAAAUGUAGGUAUAAGUAACGAUAAAGGAGGUGAGAAACCUCCUCGCCGAAAGACUAAGGUUUCCUGAUCAACGCUAAUCGGAUCAGGGUAAGUCGGGACCUAAGGUUAAGCCGAACGGCGAUACCGAUGGAAGAAUGGUUUAAUAUUCCCAUACUACUUUAUGGAGCGAUGUGGAGACGGAGAAGUGAAAGUCCUGCCAUCUGACGGAAUAGGUGGUUGAAGAGUGUAGAUGUAGAUUCCUGUAGGCAAAUCCGCAGGGAGAGUCGACCUUGACAGUAUGCCGCGUGCUUGCACAAGGCAAAAUGGACGUAAUCAGGCUCCCAAGAAAAUCCGCUAAGCAUAUUCAUAAAGUACCCGUACCGUAAACGGACACACGUAGUUGGGUUGAAAAUACUGAGGCGCUCGAGUGAUUCACGGUUAAGGAACUAGGCAAAUUGACCCUGUAACUUCGGGAUAAAGGGUCCCUACUGAGAGGUAGGGCGCAGAGAAUAGGUCCAGGCAACUGUUUAACAAAAACACAUGGCUGUGCGAAAUAGAAAUAUGAAGUAUACAGCCUGACACCUGCCCGGUGCUGGAAGGUUAAGAGGAGAUGUCAUCGCAAGAGAAGCAUUGAAUUGAAGCCCCAGUAAACGGCGGCCGUAACUAUAACGGUCCUAAGGUAGCGAAAUUCCUUGUCGGGUAAGUUCCGACCUGCACGAAUGGUGUAAUGAUCUGGACGCUGUCUCAACCGUGAGCUCAGUGAAAUUGUAGUAUCGGUGAAGAUGCCGAUUACCCGCGAUGGGACGAAAAGACCCCGUGAACCUUUACUAUAGCUUAACAUUGAAUUUGGGUAAUUGAUGUGUAGGAUAGGCCGGAGGCUUCGAAGCAGGUACGCCAGUAUUUGUGGAGCCGCUGUUGAAAUACGGCCCUUUGAUUAUUUGAGUUCUAACCCGUGGAUACGGGGACACUGUUUGGUGGGUAGUUUGACUGGGGUGGUCGCCUCCAAAAGCGUAA